GGACGAACGCUGGCGGCGUGCUUAACACAUGCAAGUCGAACGGAGCACCCUUGACUGAGGUUUCGGCCAAAUGAUAGGAAUGCUUAGUGGCGGACUGGUGAGUAACGCGUGAGGAACCUACCUUCCAGAGGGGGACAACAGUUGGAAACGACUGCUAAUACCGCAUGACGCAUGACCGGGGCAUCCCGGGCAUGUCAAAGAUUUUAUCGCUGGAAGAUGGCCUCGCGUCUGAUUAGCUAGAUGGUGGGGUAACGGCCCACCAUGGCGACGAUCAGUAGCCGGACUGAGAGGUUGACCGGCCACAUUGGGACUGAGAUACGGCCCAGACUCCUACGGGAGGCAGCAGUGGGGAAUAUUGGGCAAUGGACGCAAGUCUGACCCAGCAACGCCGCGUGAAGGAAGAAGGCUUUCGGGUUGUAAACUUCUUUUGUCAGGGAAGAGUAGAAGACGGUACCUGACGAAUAAGCCACGGCUAACUACGUG
rnacentral:rRNA from 1 species